rnacentral:rRNA from 1 species
UACAGAGGGUGCGAGCGUUGUCCGGAAUCACUGGGCGUAAAGCGCACGUAGGCGGCUUCUUAAGUCAGGGGUGAAAUCCUGGAGCUCAACUCCAGAACUGCCUUUGAUACUGAGAGCUUGAGUCCGGGAGAGGUGAGUGGAACUGCGAGUGUAGAGGUGAAAUUCGUAGAUAUUCGCAAGAACACCAGUGGCGAAGGCGGCUCACUGGCCCGGUACUGACGCUGAGGUGCGAAAGCGUGGGAGCGAACAGG